GCUUCUUAAUUCUUCUUGGAAGGGGUGUGCCACUGCUCCGGUUCGCAGAUGAGAAAACUGAAGCCCAGAGAGGUGAAGUGGCUGGCCAAGGCUACACACACAUCUAGUACACAUGGGGCCUGACUUCUGAUGUGGUGGCCUCAGAGGCCAAAGGCUCUGCCCACAGCACUGGUAGAGACAACUGUCCCACACGAAGGACACACCCAAGCCUGAAGCCCACCCUCACCCCUAAUGCCCUGUCUCUUUCCUCUGCCAAGGUCCUCAGUUGCUGCUUCCCUCCUGACCGUGCUCUGUUGUUCCUUUCACAGGCAUCAGAGGGUCAACUCUGGGGAGACCCUCUUGAGUCCUCUCUGCAGCCAGAACCACCCCUCCCAAGUUGCUCACCCAUGCUGUCCAUGUUUUCUAGAACAUGGCCUGGCUCCAGGGAGGGUCCUCCGUGCCUGGCAGCCCCUGUCCCGUGUCAGGGACACGCCCAUCGUGAGAUGGAAAAACUGAGCCACAGGAAGAAAAAAUGACGCGCUUAGGUGCCUCAGCUUUUUAUAGACAGGUGAGUUAUUCCUGUGAAUGCAGUAAUGACUGUUGGUUCAAGGUGCUGCCGAAACAUGGAUGCGAAAGAGCUUCUGAGCUUCACCCCCACCCUGUCUUCCUACAUCAGAGAAGGCUUCACCAGCAGAGAGCCACCUGGAGUUCCCACACCCUAAAAGGUCACCUCCAUGCUUUCCCACUGGGCUUUUUUUUUUUUCCCCUAUAAUGCUGUUCUUUUACUGAGCAAUAAACUCUGCUUGGUCAAAUCCUCCCCA
rnacentral:lncRNA from 1 species